CAACCAAAUUGGUGGCACCCACAAAAUAUAGACCUAACUGGGAGGUCAACAAACACAUUUCCUCUGGAAGUCAGAGCCGAGGCAGCUGAAGAGUCCAUGGCAAAGAGCCUGGAACCAGAGACUCCCAUUACAACCUGUACACUGACUGCAUGCCCUUUUUGAGAGAGUCCAAUCUCUCUGGGAGCUUCACCCAGUGCAAAAAUGCCAAUAAAGAGUGUAUUUGAGCAAA